GACGUAGGGCGCGAGCGUUGUCCGGAUUUAUUGGGCGUAAAGAGCUCGUAGGCGGCUCGUUGCGUCGGCUGUGAAAACCCGCAGCUCAACUGUGGGCUUGCAGCCGAUACGGGCGGGCUGGGAUUCGGUAGGGGAGACUGGAAUUCCUGGUGUAGCGGUGAAAUGCGCAGAUAUCAGGGAGGAACACCUGAGGCGAAGGCGGGUUGCUAGGCUGAUAACUGACGCUGAGGCGCGAAAGCUAGGGUAGCAAACGGG
rnacentral:rRNA from 1 species